GAUGAAGAACGUAGCUAAAUGCGAUACGUAAUGUGAAUUGCAGAAUUCAGUGAAUCAUCGAAUCUUUGAACGCAUAUUGCGCUCUCUGGUAUUCCGGAGAGCAUGCUUGUUUGAGUAUCAGUAAACACCUCAACUCCCUUUUCUUUUUUGAAAUUGGAGCUGGACUUGAGUGAUCCCAACGCUUUCUUCCAAGAAAGUGGCGGGUUGCUUGAAAUGCAGGUGCAGCUGAACUUUUCUCUGAGCUAUAAGCAUAUCUAUUUAGUCUGCCUAAAAAACAGAUUAUUACCUUUGCUGCAGCUAACAUAAAGGAGACUAGUUCUUGUGCUGACUGAUGCAGGAUUCACAGAGACAGCUUCGGCUGACUUUGUAAACUCGAUCUCAAAUCAAGUAAGACUACCCGCUGAACUUAAGCAUAUCAAUAAGCGGAGGA
rnacentral:misc_RNA from 1 species